UCCUGGCGGCUAAUAUCCGCCGGGGAUGACGGUACCGGAAGAAUAAGCACCGGCUAACUACGUGCCAGCAGCCGCGGUAAUACGUAGGGUGCGAGCGUUAAUCGGAAUUACUGGGCGUAAAGCGUGCGCAGGCGGUGAUGUAAGACCGAUGUGAAAUCCCCGGGCUUAACCUGGGAACUGCAUUGGUGACUGCAUCGCUGGAGUAUGGCAGAGGGGGGUAGAAUUCCACGUGUAGCAGUGAAAUGCGUAGAGAUGUGGAGGAAUACCGAUGGCGAAGGCAGCCCCCUGGGCCAAUACUGACGCUCAUGCACGAAAGCGUGGGGAGCAAACAGGAUUAGAUACCCUGGUAGUCCACGCCCUAAACGAUGUCAACUGGUUGUCGGGCCUUCAUUGGCUUGGUAACGUAGCUAACGCGUGAAGUUGACCGCCUGGGGAGUACGGUCGCAAGAUUAAAACUCAAAGGAAUUGACGGGGACCCGCACAAGCGGUGGAUGAUGUGGAUUAAUUCGAUGCAACGCGAAAAACCUUACCUACCCUUGACAUGUACGGAAGUCCGCUGAGAGGUGGA
rnacentral:rRNA from 1 species